rnacentral:rRNA from 1 species
UACGUAGGGGGCAAGCGUUGUCCGGAUUUAUUGGGCGUAAAGAGCGUGUAGGCGGCCUGGUAGGUCUGCUGUGAAAACUCGAGGCUCAACCUCGAGAUGUCGGCGGAAACCAUCUGGCUAGAGUCCGGAAGAGGAGAGUGGAAUUCCUGGUGUAGCGGUGAAAUGCGUAGAUAUCGUAAGGAAGACCAGUGGCGAAGGCGGGUCUCUGGACAGUUCCUGACGCUGAGGCACGAAGGUCAGGGGAGCAAACGGG